rnacentral:rRNA from 1 species
UACAGAGGUCUCAAGCGUUGUUCGGAUUCAUUGGGCGUAAAGGGUGCGUAGGCGGCGCGGUAAGUCGGGUGUGAAAUCUCGGAGCUUAACUCCGAAACUGCAUUUGAUACUGCCGUGCUUGAGGACUGGAGAGGAGACUGGAAUUUACGGUGUAGCGGUGAAAUGCGUAGAUAUCGUAAGGAAGACCAGUGGCGAAGGCGGGUCUCUGGACCCUAACUGACGCUGAGGCACGAAAGCCAGGGGAGCGAACGGG